rnacentral:rRNA from 1 species
CUCGUAGUUGGAUUUUUGUUGCGAAGAUCCCUGCUUUUCAUCUGACUAGCACGCGGGUUUUGGCGAUAUUUUCUGGUAGUUUCCUGGUACUUCGUUGUGCCAUGUAAUUUCCAGGGUUUUUACUUUGAGGAAAUUAGAGUGUUUCAAGCAGGCUUAAAGCUUUGAAUAUGGUAGCAUGGAAUAAUAAUGUAAGGCUUCGGCUUUAUUUUGUUGGUUUUUAGAGUCGAAGUAAUGAUUAAUAGGGACAGUCGGGGGCAUUCGUACUUAACUGUCAGAGGUGAAAUUCUUGGAUUUGUUAAAGACGAACUAUUGCGAAAGCAUUUGCCAAGGAUGUUUUCAUUGAUCAAGAACGAAAGUUAGGGGAUCGAAGACGAUCAGAUACCGUCCUAGUCUUAACCAUAAACUAUGCCGACUAGAGAUUGGCGGUUGUUCUAUAUGACAUCGCCAGCAUCUUAUGAGAAAUCAAAGUCUUUGGGUUCCGGGGGGAGUAUGGUCGCAAGGCUGAAACUUAAAGGAAUUGACGGAGGGGCACCACCAGGAGUGGAGCCUGCGGCUUAAUUUGACUCAACACGGGAAA